UUUAAUCUGGUUUGGUGAAAUUGGAGUAAAUGACUAUGCAUAUAGUGUUGGUUCUUUUGUAUCAGGCGAUACCACACGCCAGCUUGCAAUUAAGAGUGCUACUGAUUUCCUGCAGGUAAUUACUGCAUAAUGACUGUUAUUUUAUAGUCAAUAUACCCCUCAAUUACUUGAUCUAUGUAAACUCAUAUAAAACAUAUAUCAAUUAACUAGACAUUUAAAACAUCAAUUAUGUCCUAUUGAAUAAUUAUAGAAUCUGGUGCAAGAGUUCCUAGUUCCUCAUAAUUACAGAUAAAUUUUAAAUUAGAUACAAAAAUACAGAAACAAUCUCAUACAUCAGCAAAACAAUAUCAGAUGAAGUGGACAGAAGUUACCUUCUGUUGUUUUACAGGUAUUGCUCAGUAAAGGUGCCAAGUCUGUUGUUGUCCAAGGUCUGCCUCCAAUAGGCUGCCUCACAUUGUCCAUGGGUGUCUCAUCAGGCUUCGAUAGAGAUG
rnacentral:lncRNA from 1 species